rnacentral:rRNA from 1 species
AACGAACGCUGGCGGCAGGCUUAACACAUGCAAGUCGAACGCCCCGCAAGGGGAGUGGCAGACGGGUGAGUAACUCGUGGGAACAUACCCUUUUCUACGGAAUAGCUCUUGGAAACUGGAAUUAAUACCGUAUACGCCCUACGGGGGAAAGAUUUAUCGGGGAAGGAUUGGCCCGCGUUGGAUUAGCUAGUUGGUGGGGUAAAGGCCUACCAAGGCGACGAUCCAUAGCUGGUCUGAGAGGAUGAUCAGCCACAUUGGGACUGAGACACGGCCCAAACUCCUACGGGAAGAAGCAGUGGGGAAUAUUGGACAAUGGGCGCAAGACUGAACCAGCCAUGCCGCGUGAGAGAUGAAGGAAUUAGGGUUGUAAAGAUCUUUCACCGAUGAAGAGAAUGACGGUAGUAGGAGAAGAAGACCCGGAUAACUUCGUG